ACAUGGACAAGGAUUUUGUCCGGGACCAUUGUUUCAGUGGGUUUGGAAGAAAAUACUAAAUAAUUCGCGUAAGAUAUAAGCUGCAAUUAUCUCCUCUCAGCUGAAACGCCCCCAAAAAUACGAUCAUUUUUCAGAGAGCGAAAAUGGGUGCCAAUGUAAAAGAUCUCCAAUCUAAAGCAGAGCUUGACGUCAUUCUUAGCCAAGGAAAACCUGUAAUUUUACACUUUUGGGCAGAAUGGUGCGAGGCCUCCAAGCAGAUGGAUCAAGUCUUUUACCAUCUCUGCACAGAUACUCCUUAUGCCAAUUUCCUCAGGGUCGAAGCUGAACAGCAACCAGAGAUUUCAGAGGCAUACUCUGUCUCGGCGGUUCCAUUUUUCGUCUUCUUUAAGGAUGGGAAGGUUGUAGAUACACUGGAGGGUGCAAAUCCAUCAGAGUUGGCCAACAAAGUGGCCAAGGUGUCUGGCUCCAUAGACAUUGCCGAGACAGAUAGUCCUGCUAGUCUUGGAAUGUCUGCUAGUUCGACAGUUAUCGAGACAGUGAAACAAAUAUAUAAAUUACCCCAGACUGCUAAAACUGAUAUAGAGUCUGGUGAUGCAGUUAAGAGCAAACUGCAACAACUUAUGAAUUCCAAACCUGUCAUGUUGUUUAUGAAAGGGACACCUGAGGAGCCACGAUGUGGAUUUAGCAGAAAGGUUGUGGAUGUUUUGAAAUCAGAGGGUGUAGAAUAUGGCAGCUUUGAUAUUCUAAGUGACGAACAAGUGCGUGAGGGCCUGAAGGCAUUUUCCAACUGGCCAACCUUUCCACAACUGUAUUGUAAGGGUGAGCUGCUUGGAGGCUGUGAUAUCACCCUUGAACUGCAUGAAAGUGGGGAACUGAAACAAAUAUUUAAAGACCAUGGCUUGCUCUCAACUGCUAACAAGUCUGGUGAAUUAACUGCAAAAGCUACUUCUACUGAACCUAAACCUGAUACUGUUAUCUCAGAGUCUGGCAAUGGUGGUAUAGCGGACUCAACUGGUAUAAGUGAAUCAUUAAGUUCUCGAAUAGCGAGCAUCAUAAACUCCAACCCAAUCAUGUUAUUUAUGAAGGGCACUCCUGAAGAGCCACGCUGUGGUUUUAGUCGAAAGGCUGUUGAAAUUCUUAGAGAAGGAGGAGUAGAAUUUGGGAGCUUCAACAUUCUGACUGAUGAAGAGGUAAGGCAAGGUCUUAAAACAUAUUCUAACUGGUCUAGCUAUCCACAAUUAUACAUAAAAGGUGAGCUUAUUGGUGGAUCAGAUAUCAUGAUAGAGAUGCACAAAAGUGGAGAGCUGAAGAACAUUGUCUUGGAGAAAGGAGUGCUGCCCAAAGAGUCACUUGAUAAUCGGUUGAAAAAACUAGUCAAUUCUUCUCCUAUCAUGCUCUUCAUGAAAGGCACACCGGAUGCCCCUCGAUGUGGCUUUAGCUCAAAGGUUGUAAAUGCUUUGAAUGAAGAGGGUUUAGACUUUGGUCAUUUUGACAUUUUGAGUGAUGAAGAAGUCAGACAAGGCCUGAAGACAUAUUCCAAUUGGCCAACUUUUCCACAAUUAUAUUACAAAGGUGAGCUUAUUGGGGGAUGUGACAUUGUGCUGGAAAUGCACAAGGCAGGAGAGCUAAAAUCAUCGUUGACAGAAUAGAACCAAAGUUUUAAAAGUAGAUAAAGAUUCAUAAACACAAGCUUAUCUGGUUGUUGACUUCUGGCUUGUUGGUACUAUUGUGUAUGGCUUCUUCCUUUAUUGGGUUUGCCAGAGUGGGAGUAGGAAUUCUGGGAAUGCUUUCAAGUUGCCGUUGCCGUUGCCGCUGCUCCGUUAAUUGGGUCUCCUUUCAAUAUUGAAUUUCAUAUUUCAUGGCUAUAUUAGGACAGAUUCAAUUUUGGGGAUUCUUGAGCAGAUGGUAUGCAAAGCUUAUUAAUAUAUUGUCUCAUGUGUUGUUAUUGUUGAGCUUGGAACUGUUAUUACUCAUGUUUGUCAGUGUUUCUUUCCCUGGAUUGAAAUGGAGAGGAGCAUGGUGCUGUACAUGUUUCUACCUGGUCCAAUAUCUACUACGGUAAUUAAUGGAAGACAAAUUUUUUGCAUGAAAAAGUGAAAUUGAAACAGUAUUGAACUACAUAGUUGUUUAUUGCAAGUCCACUAUGUGGUCAAGGCACCGAAUUAAAUUUGGUAAGUCUAUAGUUUUCAGAUGCUUAUUGUUUUGGACACCACAAGAUAUGAAACCUGCACUAAAACCAAUAAUCAAGCAAACCUAGUUCAAAGAU